rnacentral:rRNA from 1 species
UAACGCGUGGGUAACCUGCCUCACACAGGAGGAUAACAGUUAGAAAUGACUGCUAAUACCGCAUAACCCGAUAGGAUCGCAUGAUCCAGACGGAAAGGAUUUAUCGGUGUGAGAUGGACCCGCGUCUGAUUAGCUAGUUGGUGAGGUAACGGCCCACCAAGGCGACGAUCAGUAGCCGGCCUGAGAGGGUGAACGGCCACAUUGGGACUGAGACACGGCCCAG